CUGGCCCAGCAGCGCUGAUGAGCCCCAGACUCCGCCCCCGGCUGGAGCUUGACCCCGCCCCCAGACUCUGCCUGCGCAAAGGGGCUCUUCUCAGGGUCUACGCUUGAGGGUGCAGCCCCAGGGGCACGCCAAGCGACCAAAGGCGCCCUAAACGGAGGGGCGGGGUCACUGUCCGAGACGGCACCCCUUGUACGCCAUAGACAAGCGGCUACCGCGGCCUCCUCCAAAACUGCAGGCAGACAGGGCGGCGCAGAAAGCCCAGGGCAACCCAACCCCACUGAAAGGGCAGACAGGCCGGCGCAGAAAUCCCCGGCAACCCAGCACCACUCAGAGGGGAAGAGUCCUCCCCUGGCCCAGCAGCGAAUGAAGAGCCCGAGGCUCCGCCCCUGGCCCAGAGCCUGACCCCGCCCACUGGACGGCGCGUGCGCAAAGGUCCGGGAAACAGAGAACAAAAGAAGCCUCAUUAAAAUACUCCACUGGGCCUCCCUGGUGGCACAGGAGUUAAAGACUCAGCACUAUCAAGCUAUCACCAGCCACUGCAGCAAGAGUUCAAUCCAUAGCCAGGGAGCUGACCCACAUGGCAUAGCAGACCUCUCCUGUCUCGCCCACUGCCCACUGUCUCUGGUGAAUCCUCCCACCCCCCAGCACCUCUGGCCUACACCCCAGCUCUUAUAUGCAUAAAUAAAUAAAAUAAAUCUUUACAAAAAAUAUUUGGCUGGUAAGAUACAAAAACUUAAAAUUGUCCUUCAAUGGGGCAUUAAAUGGAACAUAUUUUCCUGGUUAUGUAUGGAAUUCCUAUUUAUAGUGAAUUCAGAAUUAAAGAAGAAAGUAAACAUCAUUCAUAGUGCUAAUGCCCAGAAAUAGCGCUGUUAAUAUUUUGAUGUUGUUUCAUUUCAGUUUUUCUUCUGUGCAUGCCUU